UACGGAGGGUGCAAGCGUUAUCCGGAUUCACUGGGUUUAAAGGGUGCGUAGGUGGAUAAGUAAGUCAGUGGUGAAAUCUCGGAGCUUAACUCCGAAACUGCCUUUGAUACUAUUUGUCUUGAAUAUUGUGGAGGUUUGCGGAAUAUGUCAUGUAGCGGUGAAAUGCUUAGAUAUGACAUGGAACACCUAUUGCGAAGGCAGCAGGCUACACAUAUAUUGACACUGAGGCACGAAAGCGUGGGGAUCAAACAGG
rnacentral:rRNA from 1 species